GACGAACGCUGGCGGCGUGCUUAACACAUGCAAGUCGAACGGAAAGGCCCUGCUUUUGUGGGGUGCUCGAGUGGCGAACGGGUGAGUAACACGUGAGUAACCUGCCCUUGACUUUGGGAUAACUUCAGGAAACUGGGGCUAAUACCGGAUAGGAGCUCCUGCUGCAUGGUGGGGGUUGGAAAGUUUCGGCGGUUGGGGAUGGACUCGCGGCUUAUCAGCUUGUUGGUGGGGUAGUGGUUUACCAAGGCUUUGACGGGUAGCCGGCCUGAGAGGGUGACCGGCCACAAUGGGACUGAGAUACGGCCCAGACUGCUACGGGGGGCAGCAGUGGGGAAUAUUGCACAAUGGGCGGAAGCCUGAUGAAGCAACGCCGCGUGCGGGAUGACGGCCUUCGGGUUGUAAACCGCUUUCGCCUGUGACGAAGCGUGAGUGACGGUAAUGGGUAAAGAAGCACCGGCUAACUACGUG
rnacentral:rRNA from 1 species